CUCGCGAAGAGCGCCGGCGGCACACGCAGCCCGAGGCCGAGGCCUUCGCAAAUGCUGAUUCCGCAGCCGUGCCUAUCCUCUGCAGCAGAUCAGUGGCUUCCCAUGAGACCAGACUUGCAGGCCUCUGCGCCACGGCCGGACCAGCUGGGUUGGCCGCCGGCGUGCCCCCAGCUGGAGCAAUAUGGGCAUAUGGCCGCCGCCUCAGUGCCCCCUGCGCCACAAGCCCAGUGUCCCCUGCAGCAUAUCCGGCCAUCGCCGCACCCCUGCCCUUGGACCACGGGCCGUCGCGCCACUGGCCCCCUUCACCACGGCUGGCCUCCGCGCCGCCGAGGGGAGCAGAGUCGGCCAGCGCCACGCCAUGCACCACGAGCGUCCGCUGCCGCGCCACCGGCCGGAGCAGGGGCCGCCACCUCUCGCCUCGGCCACCGCCGGCCCACCGCCGGAGCGCCACCUUGCUACCCUCUCCGUCUUCCUCCCUUCCCUGCCUCAUCAAAUGGAUCACGCCCAGCCGGCCACUAACUGCUCGAAGAAAUGCCUCAAAGGGAAGGUGUUGGGUGGACAAAAUUUUCAGGACAGCUCAAUAACAUAACAACGUGUGCACAAACCUAGAAUAUUUGCUUCCACUUAUUUUUUUUCUAUUGCAUUUCUUUACAUUUACUGUUAUGCUUCAAUUAAGUUAUUUCUUUCUUACUUACUGCAGGCUUCCUUGCAUUGUCAAACUAGCGAUGCAGUAAACGAGUUGCAGGGCAAAAUAACUCCAUUAUAGAGCUGCAUCCCAUGAACGCUCUGUACAAUGUUCUUGUCAGGGUGUCAAGGACUUGGGAAUUUAGGGGUAAAAGUGAGAACAACCCUCUAAUCCAUUUUGACAUGGUCCUCAUUGAUCAAAUGGUAUGACUACAUACUCCUUUGGCACUAAUUUUUAUAGAGAUAAUCUUUCAAAGCAUUUCUCCUACAAAACUAUGUUCACGUAAUUUUAAAUCUAUGAAAUUGGAAUUACAGGGUUAUGCGGUGUACUGUGAGGUACCUCCACAAGUGCUGGAUCAGUUAAAGCAAUAUUUACAAGAAGUAAAGGUUCUCUAUAUAUGCAAUGCAUGUGUUGAAAGGGCUAUACCUGGAUUUAGAGUUGUGGAUGCCCCUUACAUAUUAAAACUGAUCAUGAGAACACAGAUUUUUUAAGAAAAUAGCAGUGAUACAACUUUUCCAAAGUAUGUAUUUUCAUUAACCCCAAUCGAAAUGCUACCACAAUAUGCAAGAAGGACAAACCGUUUCCUAGGUAACAAAAAGAACUAUUUACACACAUUUAUACUUGCCUCACACUUAAUCUGCACAUGUUCAUUAAAUAUAGUAGGCUAUCAUAACUUACAGUCUUUUUGGAAUGUAGAUGUCAUUGGAAAAAUCACUCUGUCAUCUCAAAUGUAGCUGUAGCAUGUAACACAUCUGGAGAUCUUUUACAUCCAAUUGAUAUCAGCUGCCAUUCUAUCUCUUUGAUGAUGUUUAGUCGCUCUGCCUGUAAUGAUUACAAUCCUAUGAUCUAUGCAUCAGAAGCACAGUUAAGCCUUCAGUUCAUUUUUCUUGAGAUGUUAACCUGUUCAAGCUUAUGCGGUUGGACAACCGUGAGCAACAGGAGAGGAAGAAGCUAAAAAACUAAAGAAUGAUCCAAGGACUACACAGCUAGCAGCAAGCAAACCAAACAGAAGGAUAUUUUGUUGUGCAAGACAUGCCAAUAUGGAUCGUGCUUCUGCUUAUAAUUUUGGAUACAACUUUGGCUAACUGAUGCUUUUGCUUUUGGGAUACAUCUUUAGGUCGAAAAAUAAACUUUCGACAGCCCAGAACAUUUGUAGCCACCACAGAAUAACAUCGAUGAUGAAAUGAAAAAUUAAAACAUAUCUAUCUUUUGAGAACAAAGAUUAGGUUCACUGCUUCCGCUGAGCAGUGCUAUUUUAGUUUACUUAAUAUUAAGGUUGUAAGCAACAUAGUAUGAUGACUUCAAUGCCUCGCCUAAGACGUGCUUUAUUACUUUAUAACAGAAAGAGAUCUCAAAAUCA